GAAGAUAUAGCUCAGGGGUAGAGUGCCUGCCCAGCAAACACAAGGUCUUGGGUUCAAGUCCCAGUACCUCCU
rnacentral:tRNA from 1 species